rnacentral:misc_RNA from 1 species
AAGUCGUAACAAGGUUUCCGUAGGUGAACCUGCGGAAGGAUCAUUAACACUUUUGAAUCCUGAACUUGUUCUCCCAAAUUCACUUGGGCAGAACUCGUUCUUAACCCCACAAUUUGCGAACGAUGAUUUAUAUCGCGGAUAAUUAUAUUAUCUCCGAUAUAUUUCCCCCUUUUUUCUCUUUUUUUAUUCCCCAUUUAUUUUUACCCCAAAUUAUCCAUUCGACUGAUAUGAACUUUAUCUUUUUCUUUAAAACGAAAAGAUAAAACGAUUAAAAAAUGGUUAAAACAACUCUUAGCAACGGAUAUCUUGGCUCUC